AAUAGAUACCCGGGUAGUCCACGCCGUAAACGAUGGAUACUAGCUGUUCGUCCGCCUCGGCGGAUGAGUGGCUAAGCGAAAGUGAUAAGUAUCCCACCUGGGGAGUACGAACGCAAGUUUGAAACUCAAAGGAAUUGACGGGGGCCCGCACAAGCGGUGGAGCAUGUGGUUUAAUUCGAUGAUACGCGAGGAACCUUACCAAGGCUUAAAUGUAGAUUGACAGGACUGGAAACAGUUUUUUCUUCGGACAAUUUACAAGGUGCUGCAUGGUUGUCGUCAGCUCGUGCCGUGAGGUGUCAGGUUAAGUCCUAUAACGAGCGCAACCCCUGUUGUUAGUUGCCAGCGAGUCAAGUCGGGAACUCUAACAAGACUGCCAGUGUAAACUGUGAGGAAGGUGGGGAUGACGUCAAAUCAUCACGGCCCUUACGCCUUGGGCUACACACGUGCUACAAUGGCCGGUACAGAGAGCAGCCACUGCGCGAGCAGGAGCGAAUCUAUAAAACCGGUCACAGUUCGGAUCGGAGU
rnacentral:rRNA from 1 species